rnacentral:misc_RNA from 1 species
GUUGGGGGUGAAACACGCAUAAUUCAGAUAAAAAAGGACAUCUCUUGGCAGGAGCUUAUGCAGAAAACAUCAUCAAUCUAUAGCGAAACAUAUGCAAUUAAAUAUCAGCUUCCCGGUGAGGACCUUGAUGCGUUGGUUUCAGUUUCUUGUGAUGAGGAUCUCCAGAAUAUGAUGGAGGAGUGUAAUGAAUUCAAAGAUGAAAAAGGAUCCAAAAAACUUAGAAUUUUUCUGUUUUCAAUGAGUGAUUUGGAUGAAGGGCAUUUUUCUAUGGGUAAUGUGGAUAAUGACUCUGAGAUCCAGUAUGUUGUUGCAGUCAAUGGCAUGGACAGUACAAGAAAAAGCUCAAACCUGCAUGGCUUAUCAAAUUUUUCUGCCAAUAACCUGGAUGAGACAGAUGGACAGAGCAUUGAAAGGGGUACAGUUCUUAGGGACUUGGUUGGUGUCAAUGCGUCGGCCUUAACUGGUAACAUUGCCUCAUCAUCCUUGCAGUCUUCACAACCUGUUCGGGCAAGUGCCUCUAAUGCUUAUGAAACCUUUGUACAGACUUAUCAUGAACCUCAAGGACAAUAUCCAGAGAUACCAUCAACACAGUUGAAAGGUAAGUUAAAUGAUUCAUUUGAGAAAGAGAUUUGUCGUGAAAGUGGCUGCUCCUCAAAUCCUUCUCAUUUAUUUGAUGGCAAUUCAAUGACUCAUAAUACUUCGGAUAAAAAAUCA